UAGAAACGAUAGAAAACGUUAAAUUCAAACAAUUUUCUUUUGAGAUCUGAAAAAAAAUGUAACUGCCUAUUGUGAUACAAGGUAUGAACUAGAAAAUAAUGGCAGCAGAAAGACAGCAAUUAGAAAGUCAAAACAAGAGGUAGUUGGCAUUAAGGACAUGCCAAAAGGUAAGUGAAACUAACACAAUCAUGUAUAAUGUGGGGUUUAAUUGCAGUCUAUUUCACAGGUGAACUUUGCAGGCUUUUUCUAAUAACAAAGGUAGAGGGAAUGACAUAGUUGUGGAAAUAUCGAACGUAACUCCAAUAUACAAUUGUAUACAAAUGAUAUAAACCCUGUUUAUAUAAUUAGUCAAUUUAAAGUAAUUUAUAUACAUUCUCCUUGGACCUAGAGCUACCUUCCGUCUCCUCUAAUUGGAAGGUGUUAAGAUAGUUUGCAUUUGCAAUUGAA